CCGGCGCACGGGUGAGUAACACGUAUGCAACCUGGCCGUCACAGGUGGAUAACCGGAAGAAAUUCCGACUAAUACAGCAUAACACUCCUGAGGGACAUCCUUCGGGAGCAAAGGAGGCAACUCCGGUGACGGAUGGGCAUGCGGCGCAUUAGGUAGUUGGUAGGGUAACGGCCUACCAAGCCGACGAUGCGUAGGGGUUCUGAGAGGAAGGUCCCCCCACAUUGGAACUGAGACACGGUCCAAACUCCUACGGGAGGCAGCAG
rnacentral:rRNA from 1 species